rnacentral:rRNA from 1 species
GAUGAACGCUGGCGGCGUGCCUAAUACAUGCAAGUCGAGCGAACGGACGAGAAGCUUGCUUUUCUGAUGUUAGCGGCGGACGGGUGAGUAACACGUGGAUAACCUACCUAUAAGACUGGGAUAACUUCGGGAAACCGGAGCUAAUACCGGAUAAUAUUUUGAACCGCAUGGUUCAAAAGUGAAAGACGGUCUUGCUGUCACUUAUAGAUGGAUCCGCGCUGCAUUAGCUAGUUGGUAAGGUAACGGCUUACCAAGGCAACGAUGCAUAGCCGACCUGAGAGGGUGAUCGGCCACACUGGAACUGAGACACGGUCCAGACUCUUACGGGAGGCAGCAGUAGGGAAUCUUCCGCAAUGGGCGAAAGCCUGACGGAGCAACGCCGCGUGAGUGAUGAAGGUCUUCGGAUCGUAAAACUCUGUUAUUAGGGUAGAACAUAUGUGUAAGUAACUGUGCACAUCUUGACGGUACCUAAUCAGAAAGCCACGGCUAACUACGUG